rnacentral:rRNA from 1 species
AGAGUUUGAUCAUGGCUCAGGAUGAACGCUGGCGGCGUGCCUAACACAUGCAAGUCGAGCGAUUUACUUCGGUAAAGAGCGGCGGACGGGUGAGUAACGCGUGGGUAACCUGCCCUGUACACACGGAUAACAUACCGAAAGGUAUGCUAAUACGAGAUAAUAUGCUUUUAUUGCAUGGUAGAAGUAUCAAAGCUUUUGCGGUACAGGAUGGACCCGCGUCUGAUUAGCUAGUUGGUAAGGUAACGGCUUACCAAGGCGACGAUCAGUAGCCGACCUGAGAAGGUGAUCGGCCACAUUGGAACUGAGACACGGUCCAAACUCCUACGGGAGGCAGCAGUGGGGAAUAUUGCACAAUGGGCGAAAGCCUGAUGCAGCAACGCCGCGCGAGCGAUGAAGGCCUUCGGGUCGUAAAGCUCUGUCCUCAAGGAAGAUAAUGACGGUACUUGAGGAGGAAGCCCCGG